rnacentral:lncRNA from 1 species
GCUAGAAUUCGUAGCGGACAACAUUACAAAAAUAUCUGGACCGUUGUGCCCCCCCAUAACACCGAGUUAACAAAUAAAAACAAACUCCUUGUCUGCUAGAUUUCAUGAAGGUGUUGCGAUUUCAUGAAAGGAAUUGGAGGAAAAUACUGGUAAUCGAAGCUGCUGCGAUUUCAUGAACCAUAGUUUGCAAUUGAAGGCAUACCGACAACAAAUUGUGCAAAUUAAUUUGAUAUUGUGCGCUAGUAAUUUAACCGAAGCUGUUGCUGUAUUUGAUGCUAGGUGUUGCGAUUUCAUGAACCCUAGUUUGUAAUUGAAGGCAGAUCAACAAAAGUUGUGCAAAUUUAUCUGGAAUUUUGAUCUAGAAUUAUGCUUGCUGUAUUUGGUAUUACUAUUUUGAUUUGGACUUGUGUUGUUGCUGUUGCUUAUUUUGUGCUGCUGCAAGCAUUUGAUGCCUGCACUUGCUGGUUGCUACUGUAUUUGAUCAUAUGUUUUUAAAGUUGUCCGCCAGUAAUUUUGGUGGAUGAUGAUGAUUUUUUUUUUAAUCAAAGUCGUUGAUAGUUUAUAGUUAUAUUGAAAAAUAGAUAUAUUAUUUGUCAAUUUUUGAUGCAUAACAAAUACAUUCAUACCAUCGUUCUAAUAUUAUCAGUAACAAUUCUUGUCUAAACUUGAGCUCAAUUAAAUAAAAGCUUAAUCUACUGUCCCAAAAGAAUUAAACUUAUAGGUUGAGUUAUUAACUUAUAGUAUUAUAGAACCACCCAAAAAAUUUAAAUAAAUUAAAAUGCUUAGUAACAUACUUGAUACACAAAAUUAGAUGCCUAGCAUAAUAAACCAAUAUACCUAGCCCAGGGAAGUGAUGAGGUUUACGUAAAAAUGAAAUAGCACUUCAGAAGCUCCAUUUAAAGCUACAUAAAUGGGUACUCACCGUUGAGAAAUUAAUUCAUGAAAAUUUCUUAUCACAAAUUUCAGCAAUGAGAAACAAUAUAAACAUCAAAAGAGUCCUUAUAUAACAAUUUGAAGCAGCACAGGUCCCGAAGAAAAUGAACUAUUUAAACCAGCCAUGAGCCAACAACAACAAUAUUAAAAACAAUAGAUUCUUCGAGGAAUCAAAUAACAGAGCAACAGUUUGAUUGCUUGAAGGCUUGACAAGUAAUAUGUGAGUAAAGAUGGCAGUGAUUGAGAAUAGGGGUGGGGCAUGGGUAGUUUUGGUUCGGUUCCACGGUGAAACAUGAACCAGAACCUAUGUAGUUUGGUUCCUUGAUCAAAUGAAAAUAAGUAAGGUAUCAAGUAUGUUUAGAACCUAUGUAGAUUGGUUCGUCAUUCUGUUUAAUUUUUUUUAUUACUUUUUAUUUUUUGUUAUACCCAUCAUUCAUUUAUUUUAUUUAAUCUUAUAAGUAUUCGCAGUUAUAAUUUUUUGAUCUUCACUAAACUUUACCCAAAAUUUUUGGCAGCCUAAUAGUGUAUAUAAGUUACCCUCUCAGCAAUUGCAUCCUUAUAUGAUAUAUGAUAUAUGAAGGGUCUUGCAUGAGUUUGGGAUAGCCUCCAGACAUACACACUGCCCCCUUUGCCAAUUCCUUUAUAAUACAACCUCCAUUCAUUAGCUUCACCAUCCAUUAAAAAAAUUAGUAUUCUUGCACAUUUAAACAUAUAUAUGUAUAUUUUUAGGGGAUGUGGUGGCUGAUUUUGCACUUGAUCCAAGUCCGCCUAUUCAGCAGCAGAACCAGAAUCUAAUCGAUGACGAUUAUGUAAUAUUGGGAAACAAGUAUAGAUCUUUUCAAAUAUUGAUUUAUAUUUUAUGAAUUAAGUAUUAAUAGUUGAUUUAUAUUUCAUGGAUCUUUUCAACUAUUAAUUCAUAAAAUAUAAAUCAAUAUUUGAAAAGAUCCAUACUUGUUUCUCAAUAUUGCAUCAUCAUCAUUGAUUAUAUUCUUCUUCACUGUUUGAUAUAAUCAUACAAAUAUUUUCAGGUUUAUUAGAGCUUCAUUAGACUAUACUACAGAUAUAUGUAGAACAAGAACGAUGUUCUCUUUGCGUGUAUGGAAAUUGAAUAAAAGAUUAAAAAAUGGCAACAUCUUUUUUGAUCCCAUAAUCACUGGUCAGUGAUUUUUCUUCCAAUUGAUUUACAAUACACUCGCGGUUAACGAUACACAAUUCAUACGAAUUCUUGAUUCAAUGUGCAGGACUAUCUGCUGAUCUAUGUAAUGCCAUGGUUAGUUCAAGAUUUGGGAAAACUUAUGUAAGAAGGGGCAAACAGAGGGGGCUUCUGCUGCCCAG